AUAGGGGGUUAGUCCAAACAUAAGACCUCUGAUUUCGGCUCAGAAGACCGCGGUUCAAAUCCGCGAUCCCCUUAUG
rnacentral:tRNA from 1 species